CAGGAGUGCAACAGAUGCUACUCCUGUAAGCAGAAACUUGGCUGUUCUUUUUCACUGUGCUGGUGGGAGAUGGGAAGAUAAAGAUCAGCUAGACAGCAUCAUCCUUUAGAGAAAAUUGCAAUAAUAAGGAAAGUGUCUGGGAGUAGAAGUAGGAUGUUGUGCAGAUACUGUGGAAGGAAUUUGUGAGAAAACAUAGUGAGGGCACAGAGUAGGGAGGACGGGGAGAAGUCACAAAGGGGUCAAAGGUCCACAAUAGCAACAAGCACUGAUGAAAUUUGUUUUGCUGCAUUGUGAUUCAGAGUUAUCUUUCAGCAGUAAAAUUCUGUAAGGGAGAGUACCAGGAUGCCAGAUUCACAGCUAGCCAGAAUUGAUGACCUCCAAAUUCACAAUAUUCAGAAGGAAAUCAG